UAUCUACUACCUCUGAUCCUAAAUUGUUGUCGAAAUAUUACAUGUAUCUAGACACUUUUUAUGAAUAGAUACAUCCAUAUUUGAGCAAAUUUGAGACAAGAAUUUAGGAUCGGAGGAAGUAAAUG
rnacentral:pre_miRNA from 1 species